rnacentral:rRNA from 1 species
AGCAUGGUCUUAGCUUGCUAAGGCUGAUGGCGACCGGCGCACGGGUGAGUAACACGUAUCCAACCUGCCGUCUACUCUUGGCCAGCCUUCUGAAAGGAAGAUUAAUCCAGGAUGGGAUCAUGAGUUCACAUGUCCGCAUGAUUAAAGGUAUUUUCCGGUAGACGAUGGGGAUGCGUUCCAUUAGAUAGUAGGCGGGGUAACGGCCCACCUAGUCAACGAUGGAUAGGGGUUCUGAGAGGAAGGUCCCCCACAUUGGAACUGAGACACGGUCCAAACUCCUACGGGAGGCAGCAGUGAGGAAUAUUGGUCAAUGGGCGAUGGCCUGAACCAGCCAAGUAGCGUGAAGGAUGACUGCCCUAUGGGUUGUAAACUUCUUUUAUAAAGGAAUAAAGUCGGGUAUGCAUACCCGUUUGCAUGUACUUUAUGAAUAAGGAUCGGCUAACUCCGUGCCAGCAGCCGCGGUAAUACGGAGGAUCCGAGCGUUAUCCGGAUUUAUUGGGUUUAAAGGGAGCGUAGAUGGAUGUUUAAGUCAGUUGUGAAAGUUUGCGGCUCAACCGUAAAAUUGCAGUUGAUACUGGAUGUCUUGAGUGCAGUUGAGGCAGGCGGAAUUCGUGGUGUAGCGGUGAAAUGCUUAGAUAUCACGAAGAACUCCGAUUGCGAAGGCAGCCUGCUAAGCUGCACUGACAUUGAGGCUCG